rnacentral:lncRNA from 1 species
CCUUGCCACUCUUGCCCAGGUAGUCAUGGUUCCUAAUGCGGGGCUCUGCUCUGCCACUCAGUGGAUGCCCUUGACCCCUCCCCCCGCCGUGGCUUUUCCCAGAGCCCAUCCUCACACCUGCCUGAGCCCCUUUUCCGAGGGCACCUGUUUCCUGCCAGGACCUGGGCUGUGGUCCAUGAUCCCUCACUUCCUAUUGCGCAUUUGGAUGUGCUGUUGAGGGUCCUACGCCUACUCUUAACUUCUGCCUACAAUCAAACCCAAAGGUUAAAAGCUUUGAACUUUUCCUACUCUCAAAAUUGUACCAGCUAUUCAUAUAUUCGUCAGCCCAGUUUUUGGCAAAGGUGAUUUAAAUUUGCUGUUUAAAAGAGAAGCCCUUGCAACGGUGAUCUAGGUUGUGUCAUCGCUUCUGCGUAACAGCAAGGCAAAGCUGCGGAUUUAUCGCCGUUCUACCCAGGUUUCCUGUUGAUUACGGCAGGGUUUGAGGUGCGGUCCCUGGUGUUUCAUCAUGACAAGUGGAGGUUUGCAGGAGAACUUCAUAACCAUCUGCAGAAAAGGUGAAGUCACAUCUUGAGACCAGCUCUAGAUAUGUUACCGAUGGGCUAAUGGUUUUGAUGUAAAAUAAGUAAAAACAUUAAAGGGCUAGAAGAAGCCAGAGGAAAAGUCAUUUA